UACGAAGGGGGCUAGCGUUGUUCGGAAUUACUGGGCGUAAAGGGCGCGUAGGCGGCCGAUCAAGUCAGAUGUGAAAGUCCUGGGCUUAACCUGGGGACUGCAUUUGAUACUGGUUGGCUUGAAUGCAGGAGAGGAUAGCGGAAUUCCCAGUGUAGAGGUGAAAUUCGUAGAUAUUGGGAAGAACAUCGGUGGCGAAGGCGGCUAUCUGGACUGUGAUUGACGCUGAGGCGCGAAAGCGUGGGGAGCAAACAGG
rnacentral:rRNA from 1 species